rnacentral:rRNA from 1 species
CGCGUAGGCGGCCUGCUAAGUCGAACGUGAAAUCCCCGGGCUCAACCCGGGAACUGCGUUCGAUACUGGCAGGCUUGAAUCCGGGAGAGGGAUGCGGAAUUCCAGGUGUAGCGGUGAAAUGCGUAGAUAUCUGGAGGAACACCGGUGGCGAAGGCGGCAUCCUGGACCGGCAUUGACGCUGAGGCGCGAAAGCCAGGGGAGCAAACG